rnacentral:sRNA from 1 species
GUGAUAGCCCUGCAGAACAAAGUCCUCUGUUUAUCCAUAGAACAGGUAUAGCAUGGGCACUGGCACUACAACAUUCUCCAUGUAGCCAUGCAAAUGUGAUUCUAUCCUAGCAUAAAGCGAUGACCUCUGGGGUGCAGAGUCAGGCUGCCUUCAUGCCGAGACCGAG